CACAACUGUCCACUAUAAAAAUGCCAACUAUGGAAGUAAUUUACAUUGCCAUACUGUUUUCAAGGUGAAUGAACUCUCCAUAUGACCCAAUAAGGAUCUAAAAUAAGCGCAAAUAGAAAGAAUAUCAUCCUAUGCCAACCUCCACUAGCUACGAUCACAAUCUCUUACCCAGACCUGCCUUGUGUACAAAGAGGUCAAAACAACGCCUAAUUAUCCAAUUUUCAGUCCCGUAAACCCCUCCAAAAAAACAAUCUUCUAGCUGAGAAUCCCAUUAUGUAUAGCUAAGACAUCAUUCACCAUUGCAGAAGGCACUACAGCAAUGCCAUACAAAGAAGGAAAUCCCACCCUUAGCAUUAGAUCUCCACAUCAACGAUCAUCUUAAAACCUGAUAAUAUUAUCAUUUCUCACCACAAAAGUCAAUCUAUCACGAAAAUUAACCACCCUUCUUGGAUAUACUGUCACAACCUCACCCCAUAAGAAUUACGACCCUCACCCGAGCACCAAUCCCAUAAGAACCAUUUAAACACACACGUGCGUGCGCGUGCGCGCACACACACACACUUGCCACUUCUUCAUGGAAACAUGAACAAAAACAAAUUUAAUUACCAUUAUUUGCUACUACUUGCUGAUAAUUAAAUAAGGGCAAAUUAAGAAAAUUCUUUACAAAAAUUGCUUUUUCAAUAACAUUAUGUAAAAUUUCUUAAUCUGUACGAAAAAAUCAAUCUAUAUAAAUUUGAUGGAGGGAGUAUUCGAUUUGGUACAAAACCCAAGCAAUCUUCUAAUAUUACACGUUUUAAAUGCUAGCCACCUUUGUAUUUAAUGCGAUAAAAUGUCUUUGGUCUUUAAUGGUUUUUUUUUUUUUUUUUUACUGCCAUAUGAGACAUUUAGUUUGAUAAAAAAUUCCACUUUAACUAAAAUAUCUACAGGAAAUACAGCCAACUUCUUAUUAUUUGUUUUGAAAUUGUGGUGUCGUAAUUAAUGAGGUAUCUAUUGACAUUUCGCUCUGAACAAGGGAUGUAGUUGGAAGAGAAUGGUACAAUUGUAAAAAGGUAAAAAGAGAAGCAGUAAAUAUCUGCUUCACAUAUCGGCUUUUCAAAUAGUGAGCAAAGAGACAUGUAUAAUUAUAGAUCGAAAAAUAUUGAUUCCUCCUAAGUGUUUCUUACUUAAAAAUCCUAUUAUAAGUUAUUAGUUGUUUUUAUCUCCUUGUAUUUAGAAAGAAGAUUAUUGUAAUUUUUUUAUAUUUGUACGUGGACGUAGCCAUAACUAGGUAAGUCACGUAAAUAAUUAUAUUCACUUUUAGUUGUAUUUUUCUAAAUUCACUUUAAUUGCAAGCCAAUCUUGACCCAUAUUUUUCCCAAGAUUGCUAUUAGAACGAGAUUUUGUGUAGGAUCAUUUACUAUUUACAUAUGUGGUACUACUUUCAGUAGUAGUAAAUAAUAGUGGCGAAC
rnacentral:lncRNA from 1 species